rnacentral:rRNA from 1 species
GACGAACGCUGGCGGCGUGCCUAAUACAUGCAAGUCGAACGAGAGCGACCGGUGCUUGCACUGGUCAAUCUAGUGGCGAACGGGUGAGUAACACGUGGGUAACCUGCCCAUCAGAGGGGGAUAACAUCCGGAAACGGAUGCUAAAACCGCAUAGGUCUUCGAGCCGCAUGGCUUGAAGAGGAAAAGAGGCGCAAGCUUCUGCUGAUGGAUGGACCCGCGGUGCAUUAGCUAGUUGGUGAGGUAACGGCUCACCAAGGCCGUGAUGCAUAGCCGACCUGAGAGGGUGAUCGGCCACAUUGGGACUGAGACACGGCCCAAACUCCUACGGGAGGCAGCAGUAGGGAAUCUUCCGCAAUGGACGCAAGUCUGACGGAGCAACGCCGCGUGAGUGAAGAAGGUUUUCGGAUCGUAAAACUCUGUUGUUAGAGAAGAACAAGUGCUAGAGUAACUGUUAGCGCCUUGACGGUAUCUAACCAGAAAGCCAC